UUCAGUGGUAAGCAAGGCAGCAUUCAACAUGUUUUCAUCCUGCAUUGAUCAUUGUCAACUGCAACACUUUCCAUUCAUCAGAAGAGUUACAUAAUUGUGUGUAGGGUUAAUGUGCUGGCCCCUCACUUCUCCUCCUGCACGCACUCAGACAUGGUGUGCUAGAAGCUGCUGAAGAAUGUCCCGGAGUUCUGGCUGGAGAGUGCUCACUGGGUUGGUGAAGGCUGUCAACAGGUCUGACAGAGAUCCAGGAUCAUGGGGAACCUGGUGUUGAAGAAAAAGGCCCGGUUUGUCGUCGCCCAUAAACUGCUGCUGCUCCAAUACAAGAAUGAGACUGGUGUUUUGAGGAUUCUUCUGGGGUAACUGGCUCGGGACAGGGAGAGACCACUACUUAUACAGGUGAGUGUACAACAACAUAUUUAGUGUUGUGAUGAUAUAUGUGUAUUUAUGACAAUGUUGUUGAUUGUGUGUGUGACUGUGUGUGUGUCCAUGUGCUGCGAGCGAUGUGCCACGCCUGGGCCAACCCCCUCUGGAGCAGCAGCAGAGUGUGGGACUACUGAGUGAUGCAGAGCUACAGGAGCUACGCUCAGGAACAUCCCCAACUGUGGAACCUUUUGAGGAUCUGAGGACCCAUGCCAAAUCUUUUCAGUCUCCUAGGGGGGAAUAGGUUUUGUCAUGACCUCUUCACGACUGUCCUGGUGUGCUUGGACCAUGUUCGUUUGUUUUGUGUCACACGAUCAGAGCUGUUCACACUAUUUUCUGAACUGUCCACCUCCGGGUUGUAUUCAUUUGAGAAAUGAAAAAAAAUCUUAUGAAAACAACUGAGCGUUUUGUUGUGGGAAUUGUCCAUGUAAGCUACCCGGGGCGGCAGGUAGAGCAUUGGGCCAGUAUCUGAAAGGUUGCUGGAUCGAAUCCCCGAGCUG